rnacentral:misc_RNA from 1 species
UCUCCGUAGGUGAACCUGCGGAGGGAUCAUUACGGAGUUCUCGCCCUCGCGGGUAGAUCUCCCACCCACUGUUAUCGUUACUGUGUUGCUUUGGCGGGCCGCCGGGCCCCGCUCGGCCGCCGGCUCCGGCUGGCGCGCGCCCGCCAGAGGCCCAGCAAACUCUGAAUGUUAGUGUCGUCUGAGUACUAUAUAAUAGUUAAAACUUUCAACAACGGAUCUCUUGGUUCUG